rnacentral:rRNA from 1 species
AUUGAACGCUGGCGGCAGGCCUAAUACAUGCAAGUCGAGCGAGCGGCGGACGGGUGAGUAAUGUAUGGGGAUUGCCCGCUAGAGGGGGCUAACUACUGGAAACGGUGGCAAAUAUCGCAUACUGUCGGAUACCCUAUAUGGGCGUAGCUAGUAGUGAAGGUAAUGGCUUAACUAGGCUGCGACCGCUAGCUGGUCUGAGGGGAUGAACAGCAACACUGGGGCUGGGACCCGGCCCAGAGUCCUACGGAGACAGCAGUGGGGAAUAUUGCACAAGGGGCAGAAGCCAACUGCAGCCAUGCCGCGUGUAUAAUGAAGACCCUAGGGUUGUAGAGUACUUUCAGUCGGGAGGCGUUACCGACAGAAGAAGCACCGGCUAACUCCGUGCCAGCCGCCGCGGUAAUAC